rnacentral:rRNA from 1 species
UGAGGAAUAUUGCACAAUGGGCGCAAGCCUGAUGCAGCAACGCCGCGUGGGCGAUGAAGGCCUUCGGGUUGUAAAGCCCUUUUACAGGGGACGAGAGAGGACGGUACCCUGUGAAUAAGGUUCGGCUAACUACGUGCCAGCAGCCGCGGUAAUACGUAGGAACCGAGCGUUAUCCGGAUUCACUGGGCGUAAAGCGCGUGUAGGCGGUUCCGCAAGUCGGACGUGAAAGCUCCUGGCUUAACUGGGAGAGGUCGUUCGAAACUGCGGGGCUUGAGGUCGGGAGAGGGACGUGGAAUUCCCGGUGUAGUGGUGGAAUGCGUAGAUAUCGGGAGGAACACCAGUGGCGAAGGCGACGUCCUGGCCCGCACCUGACGCUGAGACGCGAAAGCGUGGGGAGCAAACGGGAUUAGAUACCCCGGUAGUCCACGCUGUAAACGGUGGAUACUAGGUGUUGGUGGCUAUCGUCAUCAGUGCCGUAGCAAACGCGUUAAGUAUCCCGCCUGGGGACUACGGCCGCAAGGCUA